AUUGCCCGCUUUCUUUCUUCCUAACACAUGCAAGUCGAACGGCAGCACAGUAAGAGCUUGCUCUUACGGGUGGCGAGUGGCGGACGGGUGAGGAAUACAUCGGAAUCUACUUUUUCGUGGGGGAUAACGUAGGGAAACUUACGCUAAUACCGCAUACGACCUACGGGUGAAAGCAGGGGAUCUUCGGACCUUGCGCGAUUGAAUGAGCCGAUGUCGGAUUAGCUAGUUGGCGGGGUAAAGGCCCACCAGGGCGACGAUCCGUAGCUGGUCUGAGAGGAUGAUCAGCCACACUGGAACUGAGACACGGUCCAGACUCCUACGGGAGGCAGCAGUGGGGAAUAUUGGACAAUGGGCGCAAGCCUGAUCCAGCCAUACCGCGUGGGUGAAGAAGGCCUUCGGGUUGUAAAGCCCUUUUGUUGGGAAAGAAAAGCAGCAGGUUAAUACCCCGCUGUUCUGACGGUACCCAAAGAAUAAGCACCGGCUAACUUCGUG
rnacentral:rRNA from 1 species